rnacentral:tRNA from 2 species
GCACCCGUAGCUCAGUUGGAUAGAGCGACGGAUUCCGGUUCCGUAGGUCGGGCGUUCGAAUCGCUCCGGGUGUACCA